UGGCGGCGUGGUUAAGACAUGCAAGUCGAACGCGAAAGCUCCCUUCGGGGAGCCGGUAGAGUGGCGAAAGGGCGAGGAAUACAUGGGCAACGUACCUUUGGCACGAGGAUAGCCCCGAGAAAUCGGGGGUAAUACUCGAUGAGACCCCAGUGCCUUCUGGCACAGUGGUCAAAGGGCGGGGACCCGCUUCGGCGGGCCUGCUGGCCGAUGAGCGGCCCAUGUCCUAUCAGCUUGUCGGUGAGGUAAUGGCUCACCAAGGCAACGACGGGUACCGGGACUGAGAGGUUGACCCGGCGCAUUGGGACUGAGACACUGCCCAGACUCCUACGGGAGGCUGCAGUAACGAAUCUUCCGCAAUGGGCGAAAGCCUGACGGAGCGACGCCGCGUGUGGGAUGAAGCCCUUCGGGGUGUAAACCACUGUCAGGGACUACCAAGCAAUGGGGGUUAAUACCCCCCGGCGCUGAGGAUUCCCAGAGGAAGCCACGGCUAACUUCGUGCCAGCAGCCGCGGUAAGACGAAGGUGGCAAGCGUUGUUCGGAAUCACUGGGCUUAAAGAGCACGUAGGCGGCCCGUCAAGCGUCUUGUGAAAUCCCUCGGCUCAACCGAGGAAUGGCUGGGCGAACUGACAGGCUUGAGGCAGGUAGGGGCGCGUGGAACUCUUGGUGGAGCGGUGGAAUGCGUAGAUAUC
rnacentral:rRNA from 1 species